rnacentral:misc_RNA from 1 species
UCCUGGUUAACCCAGGCAGUCUCGCUAGAGUGCCCACCUAAAAUGCUGGCAACUAACGAUAAGGGUUGCGCUCGUUGCUGGACUUAACCAAACACCUCACGGCACGAGCUGACGACAGCCAUGCAGCACCUGUUCAGAGGCCCCGAAGGGAAAUGUUAUUUCUAACAUCGUCCUCUGUAUGUCAAAUCUGGGUAAGGUUCUUCGCGUUGCAUCGAAUUAAACCACAUGCUCCACUGCUUGUGCGGGUCCCCGUCAAUUCUUUUGAGUUUCACCCUUGCGAGUGUACUCCCCAGGCGGUAUACUUAUCGCGUUUGCUACGGCACAACUAGGGUUGAUUCCAGUUACACCAAGUAUACAUCGUUUACGGCAAGGACUAC